rnacentral:rRNA from 1 species
GGGAACGACGUGACAGCAGCGGGGGGAAAACGGGGGGGGGAGGCGGUGUCCGGAGUUAUUGGGCGGAAAGAGCUCGUAGGGGGCGCAGUAAUUGAGGGGGGAAACCGCCAGGCUCAACCGGGAGACGCCACCUGAUACGGCUGUGGCGAGAGUCCGGUAGGGGAGCGUGGAAGUCCGGGUGUAGCGGUGAAAUGCGCAGAUAUCAGGAGGAACACCAGCGGCGAAGGCGGCGCUCUGGGCCGGAACUGACGCUGAGGAGCGAAAGCGUGGGUAGCAAACAGGAUUAGAUACCCGGUAGUC